rnacentral:rRNA from 1 species
AACGCUGGCGGCAGGCCUAACACAUGCAAGUCGAGCGGUAGCACAGAGAGCUUGCUCUCGGGUGACGAGCGGCGGACGGGUGAGUAAUGUCUGGGAAACUGCCUGAUGGAGGGGGAUAACUACUGGAAACGGUAGCUAAUACCGCAUAAUGUCGCAAGACCAAAGUGGGGGACCUUCGGGCCUCAUGCCAUCAGAUGUGCCCAGAUGGGAUUAGCUAGUAGGUGGGGUAACGGCUCACCUAGGCGACGAUCCCUAGCUGGUCUGAGAGGAUGACCAGCCACACUGGAACUGAGACACGGUCCAGACUCCUACGGGAGGCAGCAGUGGGGAAUAUUGCACAAUGGGCGCAAGCCUGAUGCAGCCAUGCCGCGUGUGUGAAGAAGGCCUUCGGGUUGUAAAGCACUUUCAGCGGGGAGGAAGGCGUUAAGGUUAAUAACCUUGGCGAUUGACGUUACCCGCAGAAGAAGCACCGGCUAACUCCGUGCCAGCAGCCGCGGUAAUACGGAGGGUGCAAGCGUUAAUCGGAAUUACUGGGCGUAAAGCGCACGCAGGCGGUCUGUCAAGUCGGAUGUGAAAUCCCCGGGCUCAACCUGGGAACUGCAUUCGAAACUGGCAGGCUAGAGUCUUGUAGAGGGGGGUAGAAUUCCAGGUGUAGCGGUGAAAUGCGUAGAGAUCUGGAGGAAUACCGGUGGCGAAGGCGGCCCCCUGGACAAAGACUGACGCUCAGGUGCGAAAGCGUGGGGAGCAAACAGGAUUAGAUACCCUGGUAGUCCACGCCGUAAACGAUGUCGAUUUGGAGGUUGUGCCCUUGAGGCGUGGCUUCCGGAGCUAACGCGUUAAAUCGACCGCCUGGGGAGUACGGCCGCAAGGUUAAAACUCAAAUGAAUUGACGGGGGCCCGCACAAGCGGUGGAGCAUGUGGUUUAAUUCGAUGCAACGCGAAGAACCUUACCUGGUCUUGACAUCCACAGAACUUUCCAGAGAUGGAUUGGUGCCUUCGGGAACUGUGAGACAGGUGCUGCAUGGCUGUCGUCAGCUCGUGUUGUGAAAUGUUGGGUUAAGUCCCGCAACGAGCGCAACCCUUAUCCUUUGUUGCCAGCGGUUCGGCCGGGAACUCAAAGGAGACUGCCAGUGAUAAACUGGAGGAAGGUGGGGAUGACGUCAAGUCAUCAUGGCCCUUACGACCAGGGCUACACACGUGCUACAAUGGCAUAUACAAAGAGAAGCGACCUCGCGAGAGCAAGCGGACCUCAUAAAGUAUGUCGUAGUCCGGAUUGGAGUCUGCAACUCGACUCCAUGAAGUCGGAAUCGCUAGUAAUCGUAGAUCAGAAUGCUACGGUGAAUACGUUCCCGGGCCUUGUACACACCGCCCGUCACACCAUGGGGAGUGGGUUGCAAAAGAAGUAGGUAGCUUAACCUUCGGGAGGGCGCUUACCACUUUGUGAUUCAUGACUGGGGGUGAAGUCGUAACAAGGUAACCGUAGGGGACCU